AAAUAAGAUAUAAAGUGGCGGUUGGCGUAGCUGAAGGAUUACGUUAUCUUCACUGUGAUUGCCAAAGGCGCAUAAUCCAUAGAGAUAUUACAGCCUCAAACAUUCUUCUAACCGAAGAUUAUGAACCUCAGAUAUCUGAUUUUGGACUAGCAAAGUGGCUGCCAGAAAAAUGGGUUCAUCAUAUAGUUUCUCCUAUUGAAGGCACUUUCGGAUAUAUGGCACCAGAG
rnacentral:misc_RNA from 1 species